rnacentral:rRNA from 1 species
GACGAACGCUGGCGGCGUGCUUAACACAUGCAAGUCGAACGGAAAGGCCCCUUUGGGGGUACUCGAGUGGCGGACGGGUGAGUAACACGUGAGUAACCUGCCCUUGACUUCGGGAUAACUUCAGGAAACUGGGGCUAAUACCGGAUAGGAAUCCUUGCUGCAUGGUGGGGGUUGGAAAGCUUCGGCGGUUUUGGAUGGACUCGCGGCUUAUCAGCUUGUUGGUGGGGUAGUGGCUUACCAAGGCUUUGACGGGUAGCCGGCCUGAGAGGGCGACCGGCCACCUUGGGACUGAGGGACGGCCCAGACUCCUACGGGAGGCAGCAGUGGGGAAUAUUGCACAAGGGGCGGAAGCCUGAUGCAGCAACGCCGCGUGCGGGAUGACGGCCUUCGUGGUGUAAACCGCUUGCAGCAGGGGCGAAGCUUGUGGUGACGGUACCUGAAGAAGAAGCACCGGCUAACUACGUG